rnacentral:lncRNA from 1 species
UUCCUCCAUAAUCACAGCAGCUCUCUCUGCCCUGCCAGGAGAAGAAAGUGAAGGAGAGGCAGGUGCAGCGAUUCCUGUACCCUCUGUGGGGGUGCCAGCAGCAGCCAGAUGUCCAACCCCUGGUGGAGUUCCUCACCGCAGUUAGACGGUGCAUGCCACACAGGAAGCGAGCCGGCCCGCUGCUCCUGCACUGCAGCAGUGGCGUUGGCCAGAUGGGGAUGCUGAUCGCACUGGAUUGCCUGCUGCACCAGAUGAAAGCGGAGCGGAGUGUGGAUGUCUACGGAGUCACCCUCAGGCUGAUGAGAAGCUGCUGCCUCAUGACCCCGACGCCGGAUCAGUACGUGUUCUUGUACACGUGCAUCCGGGACAUCCUCACCCAGAGACAGCCCUAGGAAGAGCACAGCAGCUCCUGCCCCCGAGAGAGCCUGG